UUGCUGAUUUGCUGACGUAGUGGCGGACGGGUGAGUAAUAGUCUGGGAAACUGCCUGAUGGAGGGGGAUAACUACUGGAAACGGUAGCUAAUACCGCAUAACGUCGCAAGACCAAAGAGGGGGACCUUCGGGCCUCUUGCCAUCGGAUGUGCCCAGAUGGGAUUAGCUAGUAGGUGGGGUAACGGCUCACCUAGGCGACGAUCCCUAGCUGGUCUGAGAGGAUGACCAGCCACACUGGAACUGAGACACGGUCCAGACUCCUACGGGAGGCAGCAGUGGGGAAUAUUGCACAAUGGGCGCAAGCCUGAUGCAGCCAUGCCGCGUGUAUGAAGAAGGCCUUCGGGUUGUAAAGUACUUUCAGCGGGGAGGAAGGGAGUAAAGUUAAUACCUUUGCUCAUUGACGUUACCCGCAGAAGAAGCACCGGCUAACUCCGUGCC
rnacentral:rRNA from 1 species